rnacentral:lncRNA from 1 species
CGCGCUCAGCGCCCUGCGCAGCGCCAUCACCCCCCGGCCCCCUCCUCUUCCUCCUCCUCCUCCUCCCCUCCCGGCGGCCUCAGCGCGGGAGCCCCUCCGCGCCCGUGCGCGCCAUCCGAUUGGCCCGCUCAGCCUAGAGGGCGGGCUUUACACCGAGAUCCCGCUUCUGAUUGGGCGGCGGCGGGAAAUGACGCAGCGCCGCCUGAAGCCGUGCGGGCGCCAGCGCUGCCGCCCGGCGUGGGGCACGGCGCUGCGAGGGGCUGGCAGAGGGGGUCCCCGCUGGUGCCCCCCCCGGUCCCCUCCGGUCCCCCUCGGUCCCCUCCGGUCCUCAGCGGGCCAGCAGCGCUGCAGGGGCUCAGUCUCGUCCCCCACAGCCCGGGGGUCCCCCUGGUGGUCCCCCCCAGGAGUGGAGGGGGUGCAGGGGGUGCAGGGGAUGCAGGAGGGAUUCAGGGUGAUAGAGACAGGGGUGCAGGAGGGAUGCAGGAGGAUGGAGGGGAUGCAGGAGAUGCAGGGUGAUGGAGGCAGGGAUGCUGGCAGGGUGCAAGAGAUGCAGGAAAAGAUGCAGGAGAGACAGGAGGGAUGCAGGAGGGAUGCAGGAGGUGGAGGGGAUGCAGGGGGGGUUCAGGGUGAUAGAGGCAGGGAUGCAGGAGGGACACGGGAGGUGCAGGAGGGAUGCGGGAUGAUCAAGGCAGGGGUGCAGGAGGGAUGCAGGAGAUGCAGGAGGAUGGAGGCAGGGGGUUAGGGGAUGCCAGGGAUGCAGCAGAGACACAGGGGAUGCAGGAUGGUGGAGGUGUGGGUGCAGGAGGUGCAGGAUGAUGGAGAUGGGGAUGCAGGAGGUGCAGGAGGGACACGGGAUGAUGGAGGUAUAGAUGCAGGAGGUGCAGGAUGAUGGAGACGGGGAUGCAGAAGGGACACGGGAUGAUGGAGGAAUAGAUGCAGGAGGUGCAAGAAGGAUGCUGGAUGGUGGAGGCAGGGAUGAGGUGGGAUGCAGGAGACACAGGGACACAGGAGGGAUGCAGGACGGAUGCAGGACGGAUGCAGGAGAACAUAGGAGGGAUGCAGGACGGAUGCAGGAUGAUGGAGGCAGGGAUGCAGGAGGGAUGCAAGAGAUGCAGGAAAUGCAGGACCACACAGGAGGAUGCAGGAGAUGCAGGGGGGACACAGGAGGACACAGGAGGGAUGCAGGAGAUGCAGGAGGGAUGCAGGAGCACUGCAGGAGUCCCAGCGAUGCUGCAGCCCACCAGCACCACCCCCGUGCAUACAAACCCCUCUGGAUCCCCCCCUGGAUCCCCUCCCCACACUCCAUGGACCACAACGGAGGGGACGCAGCAGCAAGGAGCAGCUCCAGCUCCCAGACCGGGGGGGGGGGGCUCAAAAAGGGGACAGGGACGGGGACAGGGAUGGGGACAGAGGCCAGGCCUGGCUCGGGCUCGGAGCCAGCUCGUGAGCCCCAGCGGCAGCUGCCGGAGCAGGGGACGGUUCCCGGUGGCACCGCGUCACCGCUGGCACCCAGCACCGGCCCCAAAAUAACCGCGGGUGCUCAGAGCUGGGGGGGCAGGGGGGGGCCAGACCUAGCCAUGGGGGUCCCCAAGACUUGAUGCUCACAGUGCCAUGGGGAUGGGGGGUGCCUGGGGGGGCUGCAGCGGGAUCCCCACUCGGUGACACUCUGGGGGUUUUGGGGGGGUCAUUGGGGUUG